UGCGUCCCCAACCCCAACCUCAAGCCACCCCCCUCUCUCACAAAAAUCAAUACUCUCUCUCUCCAACCGCCACAAUCCCUCUCUCUCCCUCUCUCUCUCUCUCUCUCUCUACGAUUCCACAGUCUCCGUCUCCGCCUUUGUUUCUUUGAUUCAGGAAUUCAAUAGUCUACGAUUCUUCCGAUGCCCUAGCACCUCCAGGGCCGGUGCCACUCACCUCCGGCGGCACCUCCGGUUGGUACGACUAUAGGUUUUCUGGUUAAGGAUUUCACUAGAUUUUCUUAGUGGGGUAAAUCUCACAAACUCGAUUCGAUCGUGAGGGGGCACACUCUUGAAUUUAGGGUUUUUGCGGUUCCAGCGAGCGCCAUGCCUCCGGCGCGUAGACGCGGAGCGAACAACAAAGGCAAGGACAAGAGCCAGUUGAGUCUGGGUGAUCUUGUCCUCGCAAAGGUCAAGGGCUUCCCUGCUUGGCCCGCCAAGAUUAGCAGACCUGAAGACUGGAAACUGUCACCUGACCCCAAGAAAUAUUUUGUCGAAUUCUUUGGAACACGAGAAAUAGGUUUUGUUGCCCCUCCGGAUGUUCAGACCUUCACUAAUGAGGUUAAGAGUAAAUUAUUAGCCCGGUGCCAGGGUAAAACAGUUAAGUGCUUUGCUCAAGCUGUGAAGGAAAUCUGUGUGGCAUUUGAUGAGUUGCAAAAAAAGAAAUCAAGUGGUUUGGGAGAUCGUACUGAUGGAUCAGAUGUUGGGCCUGAGGCUCCCUCUGCUAAUGGGGUAGAAGAUGAUGGGGGUGAGGUCGACUUAAAGGUUGAGACUAGUAAAAUGACAUACAAAGGAGAAUCACUGAAUGAGGCUGUAAGUGAUUCUGGCUCGAAGUUGGACCCCUGCUCACAGAGACAAGGUGGAGCUGAAAGUCAAGAAGUAAAGCCAUCUGUCUCCUGUCGGGCAAAUGAUAAUUUGUCUCUGAUUAUGUCUCCUCAGAAAAAUAAUAGAAUAUCUGAUGGUGCAAAACCAAAGGAAGUGGUAACACCGAUGGCCAGUCCAGAUAAUUCUUUAUCUCUAAAGAAAGAAGUGACUGUUGGUAAAAAUGUUGAAGAUGAUACCUUUUGCACCAAGAAACGUGGUGAGGCACAGAAGAUAUUAACAAAUGGUCACAAGUCGAAGAAGAUUGGUGCUUCAAAGAAGAGAUGUGGGAGUGCAGUUGGACUAAACAAAACUAGCACAUCUGCUUUGACAUCAUUAAAGGGUGACAGUGAUGGUCAUUCUGUUGAUUCCUCUGAAUCACUUGAGCGAUCAAAAGAUGGAGUUAAGGCAAAAACUGACUCUGGUAGAAGCAGGCGUGAGUUUUCUUCAAGCCCGCUUAAAGCAGAUUCUGGUAUCAAUGCAGGAAAAAAUUCAAAAGAUCUGCUAAAAGCAAAAAAGCAUUUCAACGUUGCUGAUAAAAUGCUGGACUCUGGUGUUGAUCCAGAUGAGCAGGCCCUGGAAAAACCUUCUGGCAAGGAAAAGAGGGCCCAACAUGGACAUGGAAAGCCUAACCGUGGAACAAUUGAUGUUUUACAUCCUGCCAAAAAGUCAAAGUGCGAAGAUAUGGGUGAUGUUUCCGCCCACGGAGCACAUGCUAGAAGAAUUAAGAGUGAUUCGCCUAGGCCAAAUGCUAUUGACAAGAAGGCAUUGAAGACACCAGAGUUCAAAGGCUCAACAUCAUGUGUCAAAGCAGAAACUAAUCUGGCUUCCAGAGGCCAAAGUUGUAAUUUUGGAUCCAGUGCUUCUGCUGAUGAGGCUGCACUACCUGUAACAAAGCGUCGACGCCGAGCAAUGGAGGCUAUGUCCGACUCUGAGACUCUUCCUGCUGAUGAUAUAUCAGAGAGAAAAUCUGUGUCAGUGAAGAAUGAUGUAUCGUGUUCUAGUAGCAUUAAGGUUCCAGGAAUUCAACAGCACAAAAAACGGAGAGCUGUUUGCCUUUUUGAUGACGAUGAUGAUAAUGAGCGCAAAACUCCAGUUCAUGGUGGAUCUGCUAGAAACAUUAGAGCAUCUUUGUAUGUUUCAGAUGCUACCAGGAGCAGUGAAGCACAGAAUGAUUGUUCUAAAGAUGCUCUACAUGUCGGAGUUUCUACUGGAUUUGAGGAUGGCCAUUCAAAAGAGUUUUCCUCUGAAGUGCAAAGUGAGUCUUUCUCACCAGCUGAAGGUCAAACUGAUGAGAAGAUGCCUGAAAAGGAAAUUGCUACUCAUCUUUCGUGUAGUCCGAGGAAAUUAUACUCUGAGCAGUUGUCAUCAAGGGAAUCGAAGGAACAAUUGUCAUUGAAGGAGGCAAAAUCAAUGUUGAUUUCCCCUAGAAAGUCUCCUCAUUCAGGUCCUGUGACCAGACCAGUGGCUGAACAGCAGAAAGUGGCCAAGGCUAUGAUUAAAGUUUCUGGUACUGUUACUCAGAAGAAGGUUCAUGCCGGAUCUGCUAAGGGUUUGGGUGUUGUUUCUAAUGGCAUGAAUUCUUCUCAGAAUCAAGGAACAACUCAAAGAAACAGACCUUCUUCAGGAGAAAGAUCUAAAGCCCCUCCUAAAUCAAUCUCAAGGAUUGGUGAAUCUACUGUUUUGAUCGAUACUUCAGUAGAGUAUAAUUCUUUGCCCAGUGAAAGAAUGGAAGCUAGUAGGGAAGAUAAAAGUAGUUCUCUGGCUGAUUCUAAAACUCCAGAAUCAUCCAUGAAGCAUCUUAUUGCUGCAGCACAGGCAAAAAGGAGACAAGCUCACACUCAGAACUUCUCUCUUGGAAUUUUCAGUUCUUUUGUAUCUGCACCUGAUGUCCCGGGAAGGAGCCCCAGUCCACCCACAGUGCAGUAUCUUUUGACUGGUACUAGCAAUGUGCUGCAGGCAGAUUUGCAAGGAUUACAUUAUCGCACAAAUGUGGCUUCUCCAUUAAAUCAUGGUCACCAAUCUCCAUUGCGAAAUCAACUUGAUGUUGAAGAAAUUGAGGAAAGAAGAGUUAGUUCAGGGCACAGGACUGCUGGAGGCUCUCUGAGUGGUGGUACUGAAGCAGCUGUGGCUCGUGAUGCCUUUGAAGGGAUGAUAGAGACUUUGUCCAGGACCAAGGAAAGUAUUGGACGUGCUACUCGUCUUGCAAUUGAUUGUGCAAAGUAUGGAAUUGCUAACGAGGUAGUGGAACUUCUGAUACGGAAGCUGGAAACUGAGGCCAGUUUUCAUCGUAAAGUUGACCUGUUCUUUCUUGUAGAUUCCAUUACCCAAUGCUCGCAUAGUCAGAAAGGCAUUGCUGGUGCUUCAUACAUUCCUGCAGUUCAAGCCGCAUUGCCACGUCUUCUUGGUUCUGCUGCUCCACCUGGAGCUGUUGCCCGUGAAAAUCGUCGUCAGUGUCUCAAGGUUUUGCGGUUGUGGCUUGAGAGGAAAAUCUUACCUGAAUCUAUUCUUCGGCCUUACAUGGAUGACAUUGGGGUUUCAAACGAUGAUACGUCCGUGGGUCUUUCGCUGAGACGUCCAUCACGAGCAGAGCGAGCUGUAGAUGAUCCAUUAAGAGAAAUGGAAGGCAUGCUGGUUGAUGAAUAUGGCAGUAAUGCUACAUUUCAGCUGCCUGGUUUAUUAUCUUCCCAUGUAUUUGAAGAUGAGGAAGACGAUUUUCCAAGCAGUUCAGUUAAGGAAGCUGGUGAUGCACUAGUAGUGGAUGCCGAUGCAGCACAUGCAUUGGAAGAUUCAGAAACACAUGCAAUUCCUCCAAAUGACAGGCGCCAUUGCAUCUUGGAGGACGUCGAUGGUGAACUUGAAAUGGAAGACGUUUCAGGACACCUGAAGGACGAAAGGCCCUCAUUCAUAAAUGGAUCUCUUAAAAUGGAUUCACAAGUACAGAGCUCGAAUGGGACUUUGGAAUUUUCUUGUGGUAAUUCCACCGAGCUGCCCCCACUACCGGAGGGCUCUCCACCAUUGCCUCUUGAUUCUCCUCCUCCACCACCACCUUUGCCUCCUUCACCACCGCCACCACCCCCCCCAUUGUCUCCAUCACCCCCACCUCCACCGCCUCCCCCAUCACAGCCAGCACCUCUUCAGUCACAGUUACCUCCUCCUCCUCCUCCUCCUCCCCCUCCUCCUCUAUCACACUCUGGUGCUCCACCAUUGUUGGUUGCUCAAUCUUCUUUACCAGCCCAGCCUUCAUUACUCUCCCAACCCUUUUUACCGCCCCAAUCAUCAAUACAGUCUUCUCCACAGUUGGCAUAUCAACCACCUGUACCUCAUGAAUACUGCAGCACUUCUAGUGGCAACCAACUUGUUCAAUUGGCUGGCCAUGGGGGUCAUAUUGAUAAUACACAGAGAAGUGAAAUGUUUCCACAGCAGUCAUCGUGUUUUACUUCAACAGGAGUCUCCAAUUCUCGCGAACCAUCUGGAUUUAAUUCUUCAAGGCAAUUAGAAUAUGGACACAAUGAUAUGUAUUUAAAUCCACAAAUUUCUCAAACCAACCAACAAUUUCAACAGGGUGAUACCUCUUUUACCCAAAGACCCAUACACCCUGCCCCACCUCACAACCAACCCAGUCAUUUUUCUUAUACAAAACCAACGAUUCAGCAACAUGCUCAGCAUUCAUAUCACCAUCUGUAUUCCUUGCCCUCCCUUCCAGAUGGCCAGAGGCGAUUUGUUGCUGAUGAACAAUGGAGGAUGCCCUCGGGGGAUUUCAAAACUGAACAUCAGCAUGGUGGCUGGAUGAAUGGAGAGAGAGCUCAUUUGGGACCUACCUUUGGCCAGGAAGGUUAUUUUCGGCCGCAGGCAAAUAAUAUUGGUUUUCAGCGUUCAGCACCUAAUAAUCUACCAGCUGGGGCUCCAAUAUCAGGUGAUCAAUUUGUCUUCUCUUCUUUUGGUGGCACCACAAGUUGCAAUGGUCAAUUACAUAGUUCCUCAGAGUAAGAUUCAGUCUCAGGACAAAAUCCAUCUACCACUUGAUGGCAGUGUUUAGAACUAGUGGAGGCUCUUGGCAGGACUCUGUAUAUUGUAAUUUUUCCUGACAAAUGUAUCCCGAGAACAUUUGCUUCCAAGUGUAGGCCCAUGUUUCUGACUUGGACAUUGCAAAUAUAGGCAGUUUGGCCAACAUUCUUUGGUGUAGAGUGGCAGCCUUACCUAUGAAAUACUUGGGACCAACUUUGGGGCACCAUAUAAAGCCAGAAAAAGUUAAGAUGACAUGCUGUUGAAGAUGAAGCAUAGAUUGGAUAAAUGGAUGGAUGUGGCUCUUACCUGUUGAAAGGUGGCCUGCUUACCUUGAUCAAAAGGACUGUAUUUGCUCUAUCCAGUUAUUAUUUGUCAUUGUUCCCUAUCCCACUGAGCUUGGCAAAUCACGUAGAGAAGCUUUGGUGGGAUUUCUUGUGGCGUGGUAAUGGGAAAGUAGCCAAGUUUCAUCUUUUUGGUUGGAUUAAGAUUCACACCGGUUCCCACAGGAGGGUUGGGAGUUGGAGUCUUUUUGGUGUUUAAUUGCACCCUACCAGGAAAAUGGCUAAGACACUUUGCUGUGGAAAGGUGGAAGUUAUUGUAUGGUAGUGUGUGGGGUGGAUGCUCUCUCAUGAAGAUGGAGGGUCUUGAGAUCGUGGGGCAUGGAAAUUCACAAGGAAGUGGUGGAGGGAAGUUCUUGUCACACUAGAUUUGUGGUGGGAGAUGGUGCCAAGAUUAAAUUUUGGUAUGAUUUGUGGUGAUGAGAUAUGGCUCUAAAGGAAACUUUGUGAUGUGUACACCAUUGCACGCUGUAGGGAUGCUUCUGUGGACCAGAUAUAUUGAGUGCUUUUGCUCAAUGGAAUAUUAACUUAAUCAGAGGGGCCUGUGAUUGGGAGAUGGAUACCUUACUCCCAGUCUUUAAUCUGCUAUAUUCCUGUAGCUUGAGAGAGGAGUUGACCAGCUUCACUGUGCUCCUGCCAAGAGAGGGAUGUUUAAUGCCUGGUCUUUCUAUAAUGCAUUAUCAUGAAAACAAUUGCUUUCCUCCAGACUAAGGUUCCCACAAGUGUUGCCUUUUUUGCUUGGACAGCCUCUCAAUGCAAGAUUCUCUCCGUUGGACAAAAGGACACAUUGUAGCGAUUGAUUUGUGCUACAUAUAUAAGUGGAGUGGGGAGUCCAUGGAUCAUCAUUUCCAUUGUGAGAUUGCUAGUGCUCUGUGGAGCUUAGAUCAUGCCUAGAAGAAUAUGGAUCUUUGGUACUCUUGGACAGGGUUAGGUGGCAUCCCAUAAAUUGCAGCGGUGUCGAAAAUGGUUCCUACUUGUCUCCUAUGGUGUAUUUAGAGGGAAAGGAACAAUAGAAGUUGAAGAUCGUGAAUGGACUUUUGAAAAGCUUAAAACUUUCUUCAACAUUCUCUUCUUUUGGGCAGCUUACAUAGAUUUUAAUGGCCUUAAUUUUUCUGAUUUUCUUGUAUCUGUUUAGGUGAAUUUGUUGUCCUUAUUCUGUGCACUCGGUUGCACCUUUUGGCCCUUUCGAUGAAGUCUUAGUACUUCUCAAAAAAUAAAUAAGCCUACAAAGUAUGAACAUGUUAUCCUAAAUCUCAUGCCUUUGAGCUGCAAAGUUUUUAGAACAUAGCAAGCAUACAAGCAUUCAUAGACAGGUUAUCAGAUCCAUCCUGUUCAAAUUUAUUGGGAAGUUUAUGUCUAGGAUAGCACCUAGGAGAUCAGAAGCAAGCAAAAGGAUUUCCAUAAAUUCUGAAGGAUGGUUUAGAACAUUUUCAAUGGGCUUAAGUAGUGUUGGAAAUCCCAUAUUCCUCUGUUUUGGGCUACAUAUAUGAAAUGCAAGGUAUUUUGCAAAUUUAACCUUAUCAAGCGUUAAAAACAGCACUCUUAGAGCACAAAGUGCCAAGAAAAGGGCUAUCUUAACGGCACAGUUAAACUGCAGUUAAAGCACAUUCCUUCUGGUGAAGUGCCCUGCCCCGAAAUGUGCUUUUUCUUAUUUUCCACAAUAGGGGUGAGGAUAGUAUCCCUGGGGAUUGUUUUACUUGCUAUUUUACUGCUUUUUGAUAUUUUAUUUUCUGGUAUACCAUGUAGCAAGAUGUGUUUUAUUUUGAUAUUGCUUUCUUGGUUGGUUUUUAUCUUGUGUAUUGCAUACACAAAUAUAUUUUCUAAGAAGAAGACGAUAGUUGAUAUUGUUAUAUUUAAAUGCCAUAUAACUAGAUGAUUGCCUUGCCAUUUGAUGGUGAUUAUAAUUAAGGAAAUAACCCCUAGGGGUUGGCUCAAGUUUUAAGGGCCUUGUUCUUGGGGGUUUGGUCCCCCAUGUCUAAGGUUCAAACCCUUGUGUGUAAACAAUUUCUAAGGGAGCGAAGCCGAUGAUUUAACUGAUCUGUGUGGUGUGCAUGCAUUAUACACAUCCGGGGUUUCAUUGGUUUAAAAGCUUGUUGCAUUUGCACUGUUUCUGGGAUUCUCGACAUUAAAAAAAAAUUAUUAUCUAGAAAUUUAUUAAAUUUAAUUAGGAUAUGGACCCACCAUCUUGUGCAAUGGUGAAGCUUUCUAACCACUUGAGCAUCAGGCUAAGAUCAGCCACUCCCUUCAGCUUCAGUUACCUGUGUUGACCAUUUUGAUUGCUUUUUUUUUCCUCUCUCUCUCUCUCUCUCUCUCUCUCUCUUGUUAACUUAUAUUAUGAAUUUUUCUUUUGGAAAUGUUGAUACAUGUUAUUUGAGAAAAGUGAACAUCAGGUAGACAUUUGUGCUUUGCACCCUGGACUUCAUGAUGCCUUUCAUUGCACUUAGGUGCACCUUGAGCGACAAAUUUUUUUUUGUGGCUAAUAAAGGGUGGUGACAUUUAUAAAAAGAAUUUAAACCCAGAGCUACAGGAUUGCAUCUACUGGGACGAUUAUCAUCUGGAGCAAGAUCUUGAAAUGGAUUGAAACUGUGGUUCUAGUAUUAAAUAGAAGUUUUAAAGCUGUUCCUUAUGUUACAUGUGCUUGUGUUUGUUUUUUUAAAUUUUUGUGUGGUUGGUUAAUCUUUAUGGGGAUUUUUAAAGGAGUUGGAAUGUUGUAAUUGUAACAGUUGAAUAGAAGCUUAGAACUGUGUCUUCGGCUGUAUUUACCAUA